rnacentral:rRNA from 1 species
UAAAGACCUAGUAAUAGGUAUGCUUAGGGAGGAGCUUGCGUCACAUUAGUUAGUUGGUGGGGUAAAGGCCUACCAAGACUAUGAUGUGUAGCCGGGCUGAGAGGUUGAACGGCCACAUUGGGACUGAGACACGGCCCAAACUCCUACGGGAGGCAGCAGUAGGGAAUUUUCGGCAAUGGAGGAAACUCUGACCGAGCAACGCCGCGUGAACGAUGAAGUAUUUCGGUACGUAAAGUUCUUUUAUUAGGGAAGAAUAAAUGAUGGAAAAAUCAUUCUGACGGUACCUAAUGAAUAAGCCCCGGCUAACUAUGUGCCAGCAGCCGCGGUAAUACAUAGGGGGCAAGCGUUAUCCGGAAUUAUUGGGCGUAAAGGGUGCGUAGGCGGUUAAAUAAGUUUAUGGUCUAAGUGCAAUGCUCAACAUUGUGAUGCUAUAAAAACUGUUUAGCUAGAGUAAGAUAGAGGCAAGUGGAAUUCCAUGUGUAGUGGUAAAAUGCGUAAAUAUAUGGAGGAACACCAGUAGCGAAGGCGGCUUGCUGGGUCUUUACUGACGCUGAGGCACGAAAGCGUGGGGAGCAAACAGGAUUAGAUACCCUGGUAGUCCACGCCGUAAACGAUGAGUACUAAACGUUGGGUAAAACCAGUGUUGAAGUUAACACAUUAAGUACUCCGCCUGAGUAGUACGUACGCAAGUAUGAAACUUAAAGGAAUUGACGGGACUCCGCACAAGCGGUGGAUCAUGUUGUUUAAUUCGAAGGUACCCGAAAAACCUCACCAGGUCUUGACAUGCUUCUGCAAAGCUGUAAAAACACAGUGGAGGUUAUCAGUUGCACAGGUGGUGCAUGGUUGUCGUCAGCUCGUGUCGUGAGAUGUUGGGUUAAGUCCCGCAACGAGCGCAACCCUUAUUGUUAGUUACCAGCACGUAAUGGUGGGGACUUUAGCAAGACUGCCAGUGAUAAAUUGGAGGAAGGUGGGGACGACGUCAAAUCAUCAUGCCCCUUAUGACCUGGGCUACAAACGUGAUACAAUGGCUGUUACAAAGGGUAGCUGAAGCGCAAGUUUUUGGCGAAUCUCAAAAAAACAGUCUCAGUUCGGAUUGAAGUCUGCAACUCGACUUCAUGAAGUUGGAAUCGCUAGUAAUCGCGAAUCCAGCAUGUCGCGGUGAAUACGUU